rnacentral:rRNA from 1 species
GACGAACGCUGGCGGCGUGCCUAAUACAUGCCAGUAGAACGCUGAAGGAGGAGCUUGCUUCUCCGGAUGAGUUGCGAACGGGUGAGUAACGCGUAGGUAACCUGCCUGGUAGCGGGGGAUAACUAUUGGAAACGAUAGCUAAUACCGCAUAACAGUAGAUGUUGCAUGACAUUUGCUUAAAAGGUGCAAUUGCAUCACUACCAGAUGGACCUGCGUUGUAUUAGCUAGUUGGUGAGGUAACGGCUCACCAAGGCGACGAUACAUAGCCGACCUGAGAGGGUGAUCGGCCACACUGGGACUGAGACACGGCCCAGACUCCUACGGGAGGCAGCAGUAGGGAAUCUUCGGCAAUGGACGGAAGUCUGACCGAGCAACGCCGCGUGAGUGAAGAAGGUUUUCGGAUCGUAAAGCUCUGUUGUAAGAGAAGAACGAGUGUGAGAGUGGAAAGUUCACACUGUGACGGUAUCUUAACAGAAAGGGACGGCUAACUACGUG